rnacentral:rRNA from 1 species
GCGGAAACGCGGGGGUGCCCGCAAGGGAGCGCGGAGACAGGUGGUGCAUGGCUGUCGUCAGCUCGUGUCGUGAGAUGUUGGGUUAAGUCCCGCAACGAGCGCAACCCUCACCCCUUGUUGCCAUCAGGUCAUGCUGGGCACUCUAGGGGAACUGCCCCGGUCAACGGGGAGGAAGGUGGGGACGACGUCAAGUCAUCAUGCCCCUUACGUCCUGGGCUACACACGUGCUACAAUGGCCGGUACAAAGGGAUGCAAGACCGCGAGGUGGAGCUAAACCCAAAAAGCCGGUCUAAGUUCAGAUUGGAGUCUGCAACUCGACUCCAUGAAGGAGGAAUCGCUAGUAAUCGCGCAUCAGCACGGCGCGGUGAAUACGUUCCCGGGCCUUGUACACACCGCCCGUCACACCACGAAAGCCAG